rnacentral:rRNA from 1 species
AGAGUUUGAUUCUGGCUCAGGACGAACGCUGGCGGCGUGCCUAAUACAUGCAAGUCGAGCGGAGGUAUAUCGUAGAAGGAUUUAUCUGGAAAUGAUAUACUUUAGCGGCGGACGGGUGAGUAACGCGUGAGCAAUCUGGCCUAUACAGGGGGAUAACACAGGGAAACUUGUACUAAUACCGCAUAAUCUCCUUUGGUCGCAUGAUCGAGGGAAGAAAGUGGCAACACGGUAAAGGGGGAGCUCGCGUUCUAUUAGAUAGUUGGUGAGGUAACGGCUCACCAAGUCAACGAUAGAUAGCCGACCUAAGAGGGUGAUCGGCCACACUGGAACUGAGACACGGUCCAGACUUCUACGGAAGGCAGCAGUAGGGAAUAUUGGGCAAUGGAGGGAACUCUGACCCAGCAACGCCGCGUGAAGGAAGAAGGUUUUCGGAUUGUAAACUUCUAUCCUUGGUGAAGAGAAGGACGGUAGCCAAGAAGGAAGCCCCGGCUAACUACGUGCCAGCAGCCGCGGUAAUACGUAGGGGGCAAGCGUUGUCCGGAAUGAUUGGGCGUAAAGGGCUCGUAGGUGGCAUGUCAAGUCUGAAGUGAAAGUCCUACUUUCAAGGUGGGAAUUGCUUUGGAAACUGGCAAGCUUGAGUAUAGGAGAGGUUAGUGGAAUUCCUAGUGUAGCGGUGAAAUGCGUAGAGAUUAGGAGGAACAUCAGUGGCGAAGGCGACUAACUGGACUAAAACUGACACUGAGGAGCGAAAGUGUGGGUAGCAAACAGGAUUAGAUACCCUGGUAGUCCACACUGUAAACGAUGAAUGCUAGGUGUAGGGGGUAUCGACCCCUUCUGUGCCGCAGUAAACACAGUAAGCAUUCCGCCUGGGGAGUACGGCCGCAAGGUUAAAACUCAAAGAAAUUGACGGGGGCCCGCACAAGCAGCGGAGCAUGUGGUUUAAUUCGAAGCAACGCGAAGAACCUUACCAG